AUGAACGCUAGCUACAGGCUUAACACAUGCAAGUCGAGGGGCAGCAUGAACUUAGCUUGCUAAGUUUGAUGGCGACCGGCGCACGGGUGAGUAACACGUAUCCAACCUGCCGAUGACUCGGGGAUAGCCUUUCGAAAGAAAGAUUAAUACCCGAUGGCAUAGUUCUUCCGCAUGGUAGAACUAUUAAAGAAUUUCGGUCAUCGAUGGGGAUGCGUUCCAUUAGGUUGUUGGCGGGGUAACGGCCCACCAAGCCUUCGAUGGAUAGGGGUUCUGAGAGGAAGGUCCCCCACAUUGGAACUGAGACACGGUCCAAACUCCUACGGGAGGCAGCAGUGAGGAAUAUUGGUCAAUGGACGAGAGUCUGAACCAGCCAAGUAGCGUGAAGGAUGACUGCCCUAUGGGUUGUAAACUUCUUUUAUACGGGAAUAAAGUGAGGCACGUGUGCCUUUUUGUAUGUACCGUAUGAAUAAGGAUCGGCUAACUCCGUGCCAGCAGCCGCGGUAAUACGGAGGAUCCGAGCGUUAUCCGGAUUUAUUGGGUUUAAAGGGAGCGUAGGCGGACGCUUAAGUCAGUUGUGAAAGUUUGCGGCUCAACCGUAAAAUUGCAGUUGAUACUGGGUGUCUUGAGUACAGUAGAGGCAGGCGGAAUUCGUGGUGUAGCGGUGAAAUGCUUAGAUAUCACGAAGAACUCCGAUUGCGAAGGCAGCCUGCUGGACUGUAACUGACGCUGAUGCUCGAAAGUGUGGGUAUCAAACAGGAUUAGAUACCCUGGUAGUCCACACAGUAAACGAUGAAUACUCGCUGUUUGCGAUAUACAGUAAGCGGCCAAGCGAAAGCGUUAAGUAUUCCACCUGGGGAGUACGCCGGCAACGGUGAAACUCAAAGGAAUUGACGGGGGCCCGCACAAGCGGAGGAACAUGUGGUUUAAUUCGAUGAUACGCGAGGAACCUUACCCGGGCUUGAAUUGCAACUGAAUGAUGUGGAGACAUGUCAGCCGCAAGGCAGUUGUGAAGGUGCUGCAUGGUUGUCGUCAGCUCGUGCCGUGAGGUGUCGGCUUAAGUGCCAUAACGAGCGCAACCCUUAUCGAUAGUUACCAUCAGGUGAUGCUGGGGACUCUGUCGAGACUGCCGUCGUAAGAUGUGAGGAAGGUGGGGAUGACGUCAAAUCAGCACGGCCCUUACGUCCGGGGCUACACACGUGUUACAAUGGGGGGUACAGAAGGCAGCUACACGGCGACGUGAUGCUAAUCCCGAAAGCCUCUCUCAGUUCGGAUUGGAGUCUGCAACCCGACUCCAUGAAGCUGGAUUCGCUAGUAAUCGCGCAUCAGCCACGGCGCGGUGAAUACGUUCCCGGGCCUUGUACACACCGCCCGUCACACCAUGGGAGUUGGGAGUGCCCAAAGCCGGUGAGGCAACCGCAAGGAGCCAGCCGUCUAAGGCAAGACCAAUGACUGGGGUG
rnacentral:rRNA from 1 species